UACGUAGGGGGGCAAGCGUUGUCCGGAAUCAUUGGGCGUAAAGAGCGUGUAGGCGGCCAGAUAAGUCCGCUGUGAAAUCUCGAGGCUCAACUUCGAGCUGUCGGUGGAAACUGUCUGGCUAGAGUCCGGAAGAGGAGAAUGGAAUUCCUGGUGUAGCGGUGAAAUGCGCAGAUAUCAGGAGGAACACCUAUUGCGAAGGCAGCUCGCUGGGACGUAACUGACGCUGAGACGCGAAAGCGUGGGGAGCAAACAGG
rnacentral:rRNA from 1 species